rnacentral:rRNA from 1 species
CGAGUAGGUGGCCAUCUAAGUCAGACGUGAAAUCCCCCCGGCUUAACCUGGGAACUGCGUCUGAUACUGGACGGCUUGAGUAUGGGAGAGGGAUGUAGAAUUCCAGGUGUAGCGGUGAAAUGCGUAGAUAUCUGGAGGAAUACCGGUGGCGAAGGCGGCAUCCUGGACCAUUACUGACACUGAACCGCGAAAGCUAGGGGAGCAAACG